rnacentral:sRNA from 13 species
AUGUUGGAGCGAAAGUAGAUUUAUAGUAAUAUAACACAUAACACCUCACCUGGUUUAAGUUAAAAGGGUUAUUACUGGCUGUGAUAUAUCACACAUUCUAGGCACCACACUUGAUCAAACACUAUGCAGUAUGAAGGUACAGCCAUUUUUCUUAACCAGUGCUAUCAAGGACCUGAUUGGAAUGGGGUUGAUAAGGAGUAUGACCACGAAGAACACAUUUUUGGAGUCAUUAACAUGCCUGGUUGACUAAUUGUCUCAGCUCUGCUCAAACAGACAAACAAUGGCAAAGAUGACUGCAAAGAUCCCAAGUAGGUGCUAACUAAACCAGUGCCAGCAGUGGGCUGCCCUGCUUUGUUCUUCUGGCUUGCAUAUAUUAACACAUGAUAUUGUUGGUAUGUUUUGCACCAAUUAAAACCCCAAGCAAGAUGUAAUUUUGUACUUAACAAUUCAAAUGCCAAUGUCAAAAGUUUACAAAUUAAUGUGGCCUUAUGUUUUGAUUGAGGUCUUUAAAUUGUCACAUCAUCAAUGUUAGUCUAAUUUCAAUGAUUCUGGAAGACCCUGAUACCCAGAAUAGUACACCAGUCUGAUUUUUUUUUUCAAGAGAGUCCAUUCUCCAGGACUAAAAAAAAAAAA